rnacentral:snRNA from 1 species
GGGUCGAUCCGGGCGGAGGAC